GCAAACUUGGUCAUUUAGAGGAAGUAAAAGUCGUAACAAGGUCUCCGUUGGUGAACCAGCGGAGGGAUCAUUACCGAGUUUCCGAACUCCAUACCUUUGUGAACAUACCAUCGUUGCUUCGGCGGGUUCGCCCCGGGGCGCGCGCAGCUCGCUGCCCGCCGCGGACCCAGGCGCCCGCCGAGGGACCCAAACUCUUGUCUUUUAUAGCGGAAUCUUCUGAGUCUUACAAUAAGCAAUCAAAACUUUCAGCAACGGAUCUCUUGGUUCUGGCAUCGAUGAAGAACGCAGC
rnacentral:misc_RNA from 1 species